rnacentral:snRNA from 1 species
AAGUGGAUUUUUUUCUUAAA